UAUCCCCUGAGGUAUUCGUUUAAGCUAUUUAAUUCAACCUACACUUCGCAAAAGGGAAUCCGGGUUUUCUGUACAAUGACAUGCCGCCUCAGACAGCGGAAGUCAGCGUGCCGGAGCAGGGUACCCACCUAUCAUAUGAUAGGGCGUGAAUUAACGGCUUGACGGUAUUUUGGGGUUUUU
rnacentral:other from 1 species